rnacentral:rRNA from 1 species
CCUACGGGAGGCUGCAGUGAGGAAUAUUGGUCAAUGGACGAGAGUCUGAACCAGCCAAGUAGCGUGAAGGAUGACUGCCCUAUGGGUUGUAAACUUCUUUUAUAAAGGAAUAAAACGAGGCACGCGUGCCUUUUUGCAUGUACUUUAUGAAUAAGGAUCGGCUAACUCCGUGCCAGCAGCCGCGGUAAUACGGAGGAUCCGAGCGUUAUCCGGAUUUAUUGGGUUUAAAGGGAGCGUAGAUGGGUUGUUAAGUCAGUUGUGAAAGUUUGCGGCUCAACCGUAAAAUUGCAAUUGAUACUGGCAGUCGUGAGUACAGUUGAGGUAGGCGGAAUUCGUGGUGUAGCGGUGAAAUGCUUAGAUAUCACGAAGAACCCCGAUUGCGAAGGCAGCUUACUAAACUGUGACUGACAUUGAUGCUCGAAAGUGUGGGUAUCAAACAGGAUUAGAUACCCCUGUAGUC